CUUAACUAUAAGCCAAACCAAGAUUAAUAUUA
rnacentral:rRNA from 1 species